rnacentral:lncRNA from 1 species
GCAGUCAUUUACUAAAAUACCUGUUCAAGGAAUAUAGUUCCAGUCUCAGCCUAGUUGAGACAACCACAGGCACUUAAAUAAGUACCAAGGAAGCCUCUGCAGAGAUAGUGCUAUUGGAACUGAGUCCUGAGGGCCAGAUCAGCCUUGACCAGGCCAAAAAAUGUGGAAGAGUAUUCCAAGCGGUAGGAAUAACACAUGCAAACACCUGAAAGCAAAGAGGAGCAGGUCACAUCCAGCAACUGGUGACUUGUUUACUAAGGCUGGAGAUGAACCUUGGAAGGAAGAAGGGAAGUCAAGAGGCCAGAUAAUUUGGCAGAGGCUAGAGGCUCUGUUCUACUGAGUUGUUUUCUCGUUUGUUUUGUUUUGUUUUUUGAGACAGAGUUUUGCUCUUGUCACCCAGGCUGGAAUGCAAUAGCGUGGUCUUGGCUCACUGCAACCUCCGCCUCCCGGGUUCAAGCAAUUCUCCUGCCUCAGCCUCCUAAGUAGCUGGGACUACAGCUUGAGGUCCUACCUGGUGUCCUCCAUGAGAAUCAUACAAGCCCCGCUACAGACAACAGAAUUGGAAGGUCCUGAGAGCUACCAGAAGCAUCUUCAGUUUUCAUAUGAAAAACUUAAGCCCAGGAGUGAUUUGUGCAGCCAAGGACACACAGCAAGUUAGUGGCUGCACCAGAAAUAGUACUCACUGCCUCAGACAGUCCCUCCCACAGUCUACUCUGUCUCCACCCCAAGGUCUGGUUCUGAAUCAUUCAGUUGUCAGUUGUCUCCUUUUUUUUUUUUUUUUUUGGAGACAGGGUCUCUCUCUGUGGCCCAGGCUGAAGUGCAGUGGUGUGAUUACAGCUCAUGUAGCCUGGACCUCCCAAGCUCAAGCAAUCCUCCUGCCUCUGCCUCCCAAGUAGCUGGGACCACAGGUGGGCAGCACCACACCUGGCUAAUUUUUUAAAUUUUUUUUUAUAGAGACAGGGUCUUACCAUUUGCCCCAGCUGGUCUCAAACCCCUGGGCUCAAGCAAGCCUCCUGCCUUGGCCUCCCAAAGUGCUGGGAUUACAGGUGUGAGCCACCACACCCGGCCUUAUCUCCUAACAUUUUGAUAGCACAAAAUUUUGAAAACCCACUUCUGUGUACGUUAUGAAGCAUAGAAAAUUAAACAGUAUGCACC